CAGAAACACACACACACACCAUGACAGACAGACACACCAUGACAGAGACACACACAUACCAUGACAGACACACACCUUGACACACACACCCCAUAACACAGACAGACUGUGACACAGACACACACACACACACCAUGACACAGACACACAUUACAUGACACACACCCACAUACACCACGAUACAGAGAGAUCGUGACACAGACACACAUAUUACAUGACACACACACCAUGACACAGACAGACACACAUUGCAUGACACAGACGCACACUAUGACAGAGACACACACCAUGACACAGACAGACACAAUGACACAGACAGAGACACACACACACCAUGACAGACAGAGACACACACAUAAUUUCUACCUGUGUGCUGACAUAGGGAGCUCUUCUGGCGGCCGCAUGGUG